rnacentral:rRNA from 1 species
UACGGAGGGUGCAAACGUUGCUCGGAAUCAUUGGGCGUAAAGCGCACGUAGGCGGCUAUGCAAGUUGGAUGUGAAAGCCCUGGGCUCAACCCAGGAAGUGCAUCCAAAACUGCAUGGCUCGAGUUCCGAAGGGGGCCAGAGAAUUCCCGGUGUAGAGGUGAAAUUCGUAGAUAUCGGGAGGAAUACCAGUGGCGAAGGCGCUGGCCUGGUCGGAGACUGACGCUGAGGUGCGAUAGCGUGGGGAGCAAACAGG